CUUCCGUAGGGUNACCUGCGGAGGGAUCAUUACACAAAUAUGAAGGCGGGCUGGAACCUCUCGGGGUUACAGGGCCUUGCUGAAUUAUUCACCCUUGUCUUUUGCGUACUUCUUGUUUCCUUGGUGGGUUCGCCCACCACUAGGACAAACAUAAACCUUUUGUAAUUGCAAUCAGCGUCAGUAACAAAUUAAUAAUUACAACUUUCAACAACGGAUCUCUUGGUUCUGGCAUCGAUGAAGAACGCAGCGAAAUGCGAUAAGUAGUGUGAAUUGCAGAAUUCAGUGAAUCAUCGAAUCUUUGAACGCACAUUGCGCCCUUUGGUAUUCCAAAGGGCAUGCCUGUUCGAGCGUCAUUUGUACCCUCAAGCUUUGCUUGGUGUUGGGCGUCUUGUCUCUAGCUUUGCUGGAGACUCGCCUUAAAGUAAUUGGCAGCCGGCCUACUGGUUUCGGAGCGCAGCACAAGUCGCACUCUCUAUCAGCAAAGGUCUAGCAUCCAUUAAGCCUUUUUUUCAACUUUUGACCUCGGAUCAGGUAGGGAUACCCGCUGAACUUAAGCAUAUCAAAUAAGCCGGAGGAAA
rnacentral:rRNA from 1 species